CUGGAGGUAUCAGAAGUGCGAAUGCUGACAUAAGUAACGAUAAAGCGGGUGAAAAGCCCGCUCGCCGGAAGACCAAGGGUUCCUGUCCAACGUUAAUCGGGGCAGGGUGAGUCGACCCCUAAGGCGAGGCCGAAAGGCGUAGUCGAUGGGAAACGGGUUAAUAUUCCCGUACUUGGUGUUACUGCGAAGGGGGGACGGAGAAGGCUAUGUUGGCCGGGCGACGGUUGUCCCGGUUUAAGCGUGUAGGUGUGUGUUCCAGGUAAAUCCGGUUCACUUUAACACUGAGGCGUGACGACGAGGCACUACGGUGCUGAAGCAACAAAUGCCCUGCUUCCAGGAAAAGCCUCUAAGCAUCAGGUAACAUCAAAUCGUACCCCAAACCGACACAGGUGGUCAGGUAGAGAAUACCAAGGCGCUUGAGAGAACUCGGGUGAAGGAACUAGGCAAAAUGGUGCCGUAACUUCGGGAGAAGGCACGCUGACACGUAGGUGAAGUGAUUUACUCAUGGAGCUGAAGUCAGUCGAAGAUACCAGCUGGCUGCAACUGUUUAUUAAAAACACAGCACUGUGCAAACACGAAAGUGGACGUAUACGGUGUGACGCCUGCCCGGUGCCGGAAGGUUAAUUGAUGGGGUCAGCGCAAGCGAAGCUCCUGAUCGAAGCCCCGGUAAACGGCGGCCGUAACUAUAACGGUCCUAAGGUAGCGAAAUUCCUUGUCGGGUAAGUUCCGACCUGCACGAAUGGCGUAAUGAUGGCCAGGCUGUCUCCACCCGAGACUCAGUGAAAUUGAACUCGCUGUGAAGAUGCAGUGUACCCGCGGCAAGACGGAAAGACCCCGUGAACCUUUACUAUAGCUUGACACUGAACAUUGAGCCUUGAUGUGUAGGAUAGGUGGGAGGCUUUGAAGUGUGGACGCCAGUCUGCAU
rnacentral:rRNA from 1 species